GAUUUCGAGAGUGCGGCCUUAAUGGCUGGUAGCAAAUUGUGCAACAAUGCUUUCAGAGCUCCAGUAGAAAAUGUAUUCUGCUUGACUUCCUCAAAAGCUUCGUCGCGGGGAACAUAGACAGGAUGUGGCUUAUCGACCCUGAUCUCGGCAGUUGGAUCUGACUUAGUUGAUGCUCGACCAGUUCGGCAUCUUCUAGGGUAUGGUCUCUCCUUCCCACCCAGCACUGGUC
rnacentral:misc_RNA from 1 species